AGGCCAACCAAACACAAGAACGGGAGGCCAAUUUCCGCCCCCAUGACCAUAAUUACACCUUUAGGAUGUGUGGCAGGGGGCGACGAGAUGCGUGACGCCCAGGCAGGCGUGCCCUCGGCCGGAUGGCUUCGGGCGCAACUUGCGUUCAAAAACUCGAUGGUUCACGGGAUUCUGCAAUUCACACC
rnacentral:rRNA from 1 species